GAUGAAGAACGUAGUAAAAUGCGAUAAGUAAUGUGAAUUGCAGAAUUCAGUGAAUCAUCGAAUCUUUGAACGCACAUUGCGCCCGCCAGUAUUCUGGCGGGCAUGCCUGUUCGAGCGUCAUUUCAACCCUCAAGCCCUCGGGUUUGGUGUUGGGGAUCGGCGAGCCUUUCUGGCAAGCCGGCCCCGAAAUCUAGUGGCGGUCUCGCUGCAGCCUCCAUUGCGUAGUAGUAAAACCCUCGCAACUGGAACGCGGCGCGGCCAAGCCGUUAAACCCCCAACUUCUGAAUGUUGACCUCGGAUCAGGUAGGAAUACCCGCUGAACUUAAGCAUAUCAAUAAGCGGGGA
rnacentral:misc_RNA from 1 species